AAGUCGAGGGGCAGCACGGGAGUAUCAAUACAACUGGUGGCGACCGGCGCACGGGUGAGUAACACGUAUGCAACCUACCUGUAAGCGGGGGAUAACCCGGAGAAAUUCGGACUAAUACCGCAUAAUACUGUAAACCCGCAUGGGUUAACAGUUAAAUAUUUAUAGUUUACAGAUGGGCAUGCGUAUGAUUAGAUAGUUGGUGAGGUAAGGGCUCACCAAGUCAACGAUCAUUAAGGGUUCUGAAAGGAAGGUCCCCCACAUUGGAACUGAAACACGGUCCAAACUCCUACGGGAGGCAGCAGUGAGGAAUAUUGGUCAAUGGGCGAGAGCCUGAACCAGCCAACUCGCGUGAAGGAAGAAGGUUCUAUGGAUUGUAAACUUCUUUUGCAGGGGAAUAAAGUUCGCUACCAGUAGCGAUUUGUAAGUACCUUGCGAAUAAGGAUCGGCUAACUCCGUGCCAGCAGCCGCGGCAAUACCGAGGAUCCGAGCGUUAUCCGGAUUUAUUGGGUUUAAAGGGUGCGCAAGCGGGCCUUUAAGUCAGUGGUGAAAGUUUGCAGCUCAACUGUAAAAUUGCCAUUGAAACUGAGGGUCUUGAGUGUAAAUGAGGUAGGCGGAAUGUGUUGUGUAGCGGUGAAAUGCUUAGAUAUAACACAGAACACCAAUUGCGAAGGCAGCUUACUGGGAUACAACUGACGCUCAGGCACGAAAGCGUGGGGAUCAAACAGGAUUAGAUACCCUGGUAGUCCACGCAGUAAACGAUGAAUACUAGCUGUAUGCGAUAUACUGUAUGUGGCAAAGCGAAAGCGUUAAGUAUUCCACCUGGGGAGUACGUUCGCAGAAUGAAACUCAAGGAAUUGACGGGGCCCGCACAAGCGGAGGAACAUGUGGUUUAAUUCGAUGAUACGCGAGGACCUUACCGGGCUUGAAAUGCUUACGACGGACUGGAACUGUCUUCCAGCAUGCGUCUGUGUAGUGCUGCAUGUUGUCGUCAGCUCUGCCGUGAGUGUCGCUAAUGCAUACGAGCGCACCCUAUCAUU
rnacentral:rRNA from 1 species